GACGACAGAUUCAUUGUGAAGCUGGCCUACGAGUCUGACGGGAUCGUGGUUUCCAACGACACAUACCGUGACCUCCAAGGCGAGCGGCAGGAGUGGAAGCGCUUCAUCGAGGAGCGGCUGCUCAUGUACUCCUUCGUCAAUGACAAGCUUGCCAUCGGCCCCUUCUCAGCAAUUAGAAGUCCCUGCAUGGCUCCCACCUCCAGAGAGUUCUUUGCACCCUCUGCAGGUUUAUGCCCCCUGAUGACCCACUGGGCCGGCACGGGCCCAGCCUGGACAACUUCCUGCGUAAGAAGCCACUCACUUUGGAGCACAGGAAGCAGCCGUGUCCCUAUGGUAUGGAACCCAGCCUGCCCUCCCCGGCCCUCCUCACUCCUGCCCUUCCUCUCACCUGUCUG
rnacentral:lncRNA from 1 species